UUCUCUCUCUCUCUCUCUCUCUCUCUCUCUCUCUCUCUCUCUCUCUCUCUCUCUCUCUUUCUCUCUCUUUCCUUUUUUUAAGGUUUAUUUUUAUUCUUUUAAAUCGUGUGUGCGUGCCCAUGCGCGCGCAUGAGCCUAGGCACCUACAGAAGAGGCCAGAGGCAUCAGAUCUUUGGAGCUAGAGUUUAGGCACUUACGAGAUGGAACCACCGAAUGUGGUUAGUGGGGACUGAACUCAGAUCGUGCAAGACCAGCACACGCUCUCAACCACCGAGCUGUCUCUCUGGCUCCCCUUGUGCCACAUUCCACGGGCAUAUUCUUACCUCUAAGUCCCUCUUGACUCCACGUGUGUCUCGUAUGCACUUGUGAAAGUGUUGAUGGCCUCCACACUACUAAAUCUAACUCUCAGGAGCAUCCACAGUCACUCUUUCCUACAGCUCUGUGUCUUUGAAAUACUAGUUUUAUUAUUAUUCAGUAACAGUGAGGUCGAGAGAUCAGAGACGGCCACUACUGAUACCAAGCAAGGGCUUGGUACCAACCCACAGAGAAACCACUACUUCGGGGCAGUAAUAAACUUGACCCUGCCUUCUCCAUGGAUUGUUAGGAGAUUUAUCUGAAGUGGACAGGAGACCUUGUUUAUUGAUGGUGAGAGGGGAUUUUAGGAGUCCUUUGCAGACAGAUGUGCACUGUGACUCUUUAAGCAUCCCCUUUCUUAGCCAGGAGAGUUAGGUUCUGCAAUGGGCAUGUUUGACCUUUUGUUGACAAAAUAUCUUGACCAUGUGAUCUGGCUCUAGAUCUCGAUCUGGGCGUUCUGACCUUUGGAAUAUCGAAUGCUUGCGGACCCUGAAAGGACCACCUUCCAUUCUAGAAGCACGUUUCAAAGCCACCUCGAGUGGAUUCUGAAGAGAUCUGAAAUCAACCUACGUGCUUUGUUACUGUUAAUCCCUGGCAUGCUGAGUCUUCAUUCAUUCUGCUGUUGGGAAGAUAGUCUGAUAUAAUUAUAAAUCUCACAGGGAAAAGACUUGUACCACUGGGUCCCACGUUGGGGAACAUCAAGGUUAAACAGGAGGUAGGGAGAUAUCUAGAAGGUAUCCAGGAGAUAAGAGAUAUGUGGUCAGAUGUCUGUAUUACUAUUUCACCAGAAGAAAAAAGUGGGACAGGAAAAGCAGAUCCUGGAUGAAUUAAUACAAGGCUUUCAUCAAGGAUCAGUUGCUAAUUUAAUAGUGUCUUUUCAUGAGGAGUAAGACCACUGGAUAGUGAAUAAUUAUGUCAAGGUUUCCAUCAGGUCAGAACUCUGAGUUGCCUGGUUUGCAUUUAAACAAGAUGUGCCUGGCCCAUUGACACCAUCUCUUGGGACUGGCUAACUUGGGAAAGGUGGUCCUUUCAGGGUUAGCAAGCAUUGGUAUACCAAAGGUCAGGACACCCAGAUCAAAAUCUAAAGUUAACAGGUAAGAUGUAAGGUAACAACAGAUAAUGUCAUCUGGGCUUUUGCCCUUCUCCUACCUCCCCUUUGCCAGUGCCCUCUCUUCACAAUGGUCCAGACUUCUUGUAAUCAGUACCUCAGGUCUGUUGCUUCAACACUUUGCUCUCCCCAUCUCUCGUACCUGAGGUCACACAGGCUGGGGCCUAUGUUACCAUGACACCGGUCUUAUCUCUACCUCCAGCUUUGUACUGUCUGCCCUUCCACCUCCUGAGGAACUCCUCUCUAGCAGGCACCUCAGAUCUAAUGGUUAUUCCUAGUCCUCUAGUACCCUAAUGGCUCCAUCCCUAAGCCCAGGAGUUCUGUAUUUUUUUAACUACUAUACUGCCAUCAAUGUUCUGUAGGUUUUUAUUUUGUUUUGUUUUUUCAAAAUAGAGCUCUAAGCAAACAAACUAUUCAGUAACAGGUCAGGUUUUAUUGUUCACACAGUUCACUCGAUUCCCUCCUCCACCUUGUCUGAAAUACCUGAUGUGGCUGACAUCCUGAAAUUCAGUAAGUGGAGACGGAAGAUCCCAGAAAUGUAACAGAGAAUCUCUUCCUUCGAGAGAGAAACCAGCAAACAGACAGGAGCGGGCAGAUGGUGAGGAUCUGUAACGACUGGCAACAAAGUCCUCUGCUUGCCUCUGCGCUCCGCAGGUCUGGCAGGAAAGAGAAAGAACUUCCUGUUGGUGAGCGGUUUGAGUGGUGAGGGAAGAAACUGGAUUUGGGAAGUGGUGUGAUCUAGAGUAAAAUCCAAGGUCACCCACUGUGUCUGUCCUGCAGGCUGCAGCAUAUAGCAUAAUCAGAGUGCCUUUGGUUGUUGUUUUUGUUGUUGUUGUUGUUGUUGUUUUGUUUUGUUUUGUUUUUGUUUGUUUGUUUUGUUCAAAGUCUUUUAAUUCUUAGAAUGUGUAACUAUUAGAAUGUAAAGAUUUCAAAUAUGCCAAUAAAAAGUUUAAAGCCGU